UACUUUGUUCUCUUCUGAAGAGCACUUCCCUUUUUUAAUAACUACAAUAUAAAAAUAAUGAGCUAAACAGGGCACAAGUGGUGACUGAUGAGUUCAUGCCGACAGCAUGCUUCUUGGGAUGGCUUUGGUCCAUGCAGCCCAUACUUCUCAGUCAGUGCCCAGACACAAGCCAGAAACUGUUCCCAGGAGACAUCAUGGAGACUUGUUUUAGGAGACAAGGAAAAUACUGCCACAUGGACACAAGCUGGGCAGUGCCACUGGCCUUUAGAGUCAGAGGACAGGCACUAAACCUGUUCAGUGUAAUACAGAUGUAACUGUGAUCAGGUAACUAGAAGAGAAACCAACAGGAAUUUCAGCUUCAUUAAGGACUUAGCUGUCCUGUGUAAUGAUCCUGGUCCUCUGCAGAAUCUGCUAGAAGGGUCUCAAGCUGGUAGAACAUGUAGGGUGCAUGGAGCUGCUUGCUCAGAUUCUUUAUAGAGUAUAUAGUGAUUUAAGUUAAAAAAUACAGAUUUCAGCAGCACCAGAUAUAUCUGAGGAGUCUUUAUUAAAAAAAUGUGUGUUUCUUCUAGGCUGUGAAAUGUAAACUACAAGGUGAAGGGAGAAAUAAGAUGGAUGUAAUUUGUGUUUUCUUCUCCUACUACAAGUCUGUAACCUCUGGCAGUGAGUGUCAUGUCAGCUGGGCACUUUCAUGCCUCAGACAUUACUGCUAAGCCUUCCAGCAUUUCUCUGUGAGUGACCAAUUGGAAGGAGAAAGGAGAUGUCAGGAACCUAUCUCCUUCAGCAUGUCACUUCAGCUGUUCAGCCACUAAACUUAGGGAUUUAGCUGUAAAACAACAAAAUAAAUUCCAGCUUCCCUUCCUGUCCCUCCCCAAGCCCCCUGGGUUCUCCCUAAAUAAUGUCUGUGGUCACCCAUUUAGGUUAUUUGCAAAGUUUCCACUUACCGCAGUAAUUUCGUAGGAAUGACUGUGUUCCUUCAGUGCUUUGUGAUAAUAAGAAUAGAAAUAGGGAAUGGAAAAAAAGAGCAGAGGAGAGCAGAGGCCUCACCUAGAGCUGCCCUUUUUACUAAGCAGCCUGAGCAGAGUGUCAGGGAAAAGCCAGGCAGUACUUCAUCCUGAGCUAUCACAUCACUUAAGACUGAAAGCAAUUACUGACAUUUUCACAGGGCUAAGACCACAUUUAGGGUUGAAUAUGUUUGUUCAGGCAUAAAGUCUGCCCAUGCAGUUAAAUUCAAGACAUUUAGUUAGUCUGAUUCGUGGGUUGUCACAUUUGAAAACAGUAAAGUCCAGUUGAACUGGGAAACAGAACAUGAGGACCUGUGUGCACCUUUAAAACUGCCUUCCUUAAAAACAAGAUGAUGAAUGCAAGCUCUCACUUGUAAAAUAGUUGUGCCUUAAAAUCCCUGAGGUUUUGCUCCUCGCUCCUCCUGUUAGGCUGUAUGAAUACCUGGGGACUUUAAAUCACAGAAUUUCCCUGGAUAAGUGUAUUGAUGACCUGAGGCUUCAUCAGAGCACUAUCCUUAUACCCUGCAGCAGCUGUCUGUAGAAGACCAGGUGGGUCAUGCAGUUGACAAGCCUUAAAAAUCAAGUAACAACCUCACCUGCUACAUACUUAAGAUAGGUCUUUUUUAAGGCAGGAAAAAUACAAAUGUUAAAGAAAAAGUAAUACGCAUGAAGUAUUGUGUGCAGUUUGGGGCACUACAAUAUAAAGAAGCUGUUCCAGAGCAUCCAGAAAAGAGCUGUGAUGAUGGUGAAGGGCCUUGAGGGCCAUGAGCAGCUGAGGACACUUGGUCUGUUCAGCCUGGAGAAAAGGAGGCUGAGGGGAGACCUCAUUUCAGUUUAGAGCUUCACUGUGAGGGGAAGAGAAGGAAUGGACACUGAUCUGUUCUCUGUGGUUACCAGGGACAGGACCCAAAGAAUGGCCUGAAGCUGUGCCAGGGGCAGUUUAGAUUGGAUAUUAGAAAAAGAUUCUUCACCCAGAGGGUGUUUGGGCAGUGGAACAGGCUCCCCAGGGAAGUGGUCACAGCACCAAGCCUGGCAGAAUUCAAGAAGUGUUUGGACAAUGCUGUCAGGCACCUGGUGUGACUCUUGAGGAUGGUUCUGUGCAGGGCCAGGAAUUUGGCUUGAUGAUCCCUAUGAAUCCCUUCCAACUGAGGAUACUCUGUGACUCCAUUGACACAAUAGUGAAGGAGAGCUUCCAGCACAAAGUUGGAUGUGUGUGGAAUCAGGAUGUAUCAGUCCAGAUUUGCACAGAUAAUGUGCUGAAUUCAUAUACACCUUUUUCUUGGAGUUUCAAAUGGGUGAAGGUGCCUCUUGGAUUUAGGUAUUAAAUCUGAAGUGGUACCAGGGUGCUUAAAAGCCGUAAUUAGAAGUACCGAUUUACUGUUAAGGCACAAAGAGAAGAGCUCAGAGAUUCUGAGUAAUAAUUCUAUGACUCAAAGAAAUGGCAGUGUGUGGUCCCAGCUCCAUAGCUGUCCAGCAUUUCAGCGAGAGUGGUGUAAUGCCACAUCCCUGGGAGUGUUCUAGGCCAGUUUGGAUGGGAUGUUGAGCAACCUGGUCUACUGGAAGGUGUCCAUGCACAGCAGUGGGGUUGGAAUUAAAUAGUCUUUGAGGUCCCUUCUAUGAUUCUUGAACAAUUCCAGUCACUGUGCUGUAAAUUGGAUUUAAAGGUACUAGGCUUUUAUCAGCAUGGGGAAGGAAAAGCACCCUGAAAUAUUUGUUGAUACUACUCUUUAUCUUAAAAGCAGGGCCAUCCUUGGCUUGACCCAAAAAAACUUUCAGUGCUUCAGAAAUGAGUUGUCACUGAUUUUGCACUGCUCUUAAGUGGAAUGUUUUCUGUGCCUGGCUUUCUAAGUGUCAAAAACCUCCAGCCUAAAGUCUACAGCCACAUAACUCUCUGUUCCCCUUUUUAUUUCAGUCUUUUCUCAGAACCUCAGAGUACUGAAAUAGGGUUCAAUUUCCCCAAGCAGUUCUAGUAAUCAAAUAUGAAAACAGUAGAAAAAUCUGUCUAUGAAGUUAAAGAAUAUCUUACAGAAAAUUCAAGUGGAUUUUUGAAUAGCAUAGUUUUGAAGCUAAUCAGUAGCUAGAAAUGCGCUUCAUCUUUGUAACUUCACAUGAAAACUACUUCUAAAAGAAAACACCCCUGUUUCUCCUUUUUCUUAAUUCCUGGGGUAAUUGCAACAGCUUGUGUUUUGUGUAGUGAAAUUAGUGUAUUAGGCACUGAAUUGAAAUAAACUAAAUGAUACUUGUGCUUUGUUUUUCUUGUUUAUUUGCUGACUUCUUUCAGACAUGAGUCAAUUCCUUCUGUCCUUUACAGAAAUAACACUCCUUUACAUUGUGGGGCCAAGCCACCAGCCCCUUGGAGCAGCCCACAUUUUUGGCAGUAGCAACCUCUCCCAUCGCUCUUUUAAAAGGCCAGUGGACUAAACUUGUUAAACUUUUUCUGUGGAGUCUCAUGACAUGUGAAAGGGAGUGGCAAGGACAUGAGGCCUGAACAUGGUGAAGGGAAAAAGUACAGUGCACUUCGUAGUCAACAUAUAUAGAAAAUGGCUAAAGAUGGUACAGAAUGGCUGAAGAAAGAAAAACCUAACCAACAGAAAACUAUUUUAAGACCUUUUCAGCAAAAGCACUCGUGUGCCUACUUUACAAUGCCGGCUUUUGUGACAGUGCUUUACGGAGUUUGUCAGCCAGAGCCUUAAAAAAUCCUGGCUUCUACCCUACUCACUGACAUUGCCAGCUAAGCCAAAGAUUUCACUGUCUUUCCCUUCUUCACCUGCACUCCCUUGGAAAGUUCCUCCUCUCUCUUCCCUUUACUCCACACAUCAUGCUUGUUUGCUGUCCACUACCUCUUAGCCCCUUACCCUUCUGAGUCUGACCAUAUCUCUCAGAUACUUUUAAAAUAUUUUAGAAACUACUGCGUUAAAAUGCCUUCAGUUUUGAAGCCUCUCUUCCUACAUUUCCCUCAACUGUACAUUGGCAGAUCAAAGGAGAAAUUGUUGCCAGUUUAAAACGUCUCCUCUGCAUCUAAGCACAGCUCUUGAUGAGCACAGACUGUCCUAUCAUUUUUCUGUUCCUUCCUGUGGCUGCUGUCACUACAAGCCCAUUUUUCAAUUUUCUUCCUCAUCUUGUGCCAAAAACAGGAUCCAGCUAUUAAGGUAUAAUGAAGUGCAUUAGGACUCAGAAGUUUAUCUUUACAGCAGGCCAACAAGCACCAGCCUUUCAAAAAGCAGGGCCAACAAAAGGGUGCCUCCUGCUCCUCCUAAGCAAACUGAGAAUUGUAAAUUGUACAUUUGAAUAUGUGAAUUACAUUCAUAUGAAUGGUAUGAAUAAUGAAGAGAAGUGCUCUCAGAGUAAUAAUUGUGAUUAUCUGAACAAACAAGAUAGGCACCUUGGACAUGUAGCCCUAGCCCUCUUUAUCUGCAUCACCACUUUCUCCCUAACACCAUACAUUGCCUCCCAUCUAGAUUUAAUUCAACACCUUGAAUUGUGUUUGAUCAGGGACAGAUCAAAGAAGUUGCCACCAGACAUCUUUGACAGAUUUUAGAAAGACCUAGUUUUUUAUUUAGAAACAGAAACUUAAAAUGUCUGGUGGCUUGUCCUCAGGGAGAGUAGUUUGCUCAGUUUAAAACACAAAAUUCUCUGCUUGCUGGAACCUGCCAGGCCAGGAUUCUGUUAUCCUCAGAAAUGGUUUACAUGCAUGCUGGCCUUUGCUGUGCUGAACAAGUAACUGGAACACUUUCAGUUCUAGUGUUUCAACACAAUGGUUUUGUCUCAUGUUCAGGAUGAAAACUGAAGAAAAAAAAAAAGACCCCCACCCCUCAGUGAAAUAUGUAGAAAUGCUCUCAUGUGGAAAGUUUCAUUUUGAAAUCUUCCAAUUCAAACUAGUUCAUUUUGGCUUUGUUUCACAUGGAGAUGUAUCCUUACAGGUGGUUUUACUGCUUUUCAGUCCUUGGGAUCUAUAUCCACUCAACACUGUCACAGUUCUCCUUAUGCUCCACUCCAGCCAGAAAAUAGAAUGCAGUGAGGGGAAAAAACCCCACCUUGAUAAGAACCACCAUACCAAACUUGUUUCUUGUAUGUUCCAACGAGACAUGUUUGAAUUAAGUUGACAGAGUCAUUGAUCAAAUAGUUCAUUCUUCUAGGAAAAAAAGAAGUCAACUUCUUCUCAGUUGCAUUUUCCUAUAAAAAUUUGUUUUGGUGCAAGUUUUAAAGCAGCUGUAAAAUGUGAUAUAUUUGACAAUUAUCCUCUUAUUUGUGGACCUUAAUGUAGACUAAAGAAACCCAGAUUCAACUCUUCAAAGUUUUGGUUAGGAAAGAAUGUGUUCUGAUGUUUACUGAACAGUACUACUAUAAAUUGGAUUAAUCUCUACCAUAUUUUUCCUAGACGGAAAUGUCACUUCCAACUUGAUUCUCCCCCAGUGUUGAUAAUCCCCUCUAGUCAGUGAGUACUGCCUGCAGUACAACCAAAAGAGCUCUGUUGUGAAAGAACAAAAUCAGCUUGGCCACAAAUUGUCAGGUCAGAAUAAAAAUAUAGUCCCAGAAGAAGGGCUGAGGUUGAAGGACACCAUUCAGAAGACGCAAGAAGCCAAAUUAGUCAAAAAUAGACCAAAUGGCAGGGAAAUACUGGGUGAAAUUGAAGCAGAAGUCCUCAAUGCUGUGGCUUUCACUACAUAAAAUCUGCAUUUUCAUUUUGUGUCACAAGUCAUUGGAAAUGUCAGUUCUUGUUCAGAGAACCUCACUGACUGUACCUCAGUUGGAGGUAUCGCUUUUCUAGUUUGAUUUGUCUUUGCCUGUGCCUUAAGACAGCUGCUUUGAAUUUCCCAGUGACACCUGCAGUUAAGAUCCCUACAAUGAGAAUUCAAAAAUCCUUCCCAUCUGUCCGUCUGAAGAGCUGUGGUAGUGAAGUGUUUCCUCUGAAGUCCACGUGCAUCCUUCUCCCCCAUAGCCUUUGUGCCUGUGCUCUGACACAGUGUUUGAAGUCAGCAAGUGAACAAUACACACUGCAGAGCCUCCUUUCUGGACUGAGGGAUUGCUGUUACCUGCACACUCUCCCCUUCCCCCUGAUGAAACCUGGAGUAACAAGGAGGAGUCAUGGACUCGAGCUCUGUCCAGUUUCCACUUUGGAAUCUAAUCUAAUUACACUAGAUUUGUCUGUAUCCCCUCUGCAGAUUUAACUAGACACAGUGCACAAUUCACUUCCUGCUAGAGCUUGCCAUGUAGUUUCUUGGGUGAUUGAGAUACAGUUCAGCAAGAAGAUAGUGGAUAACUUUGUGUAUCUGUUGAAAAAUAAACAGCAUCUGAACAGACUGAGAAUAGUCUUGAGCCUUUAGUCUAUGAAAAAAGAAAAGCCCUUACAUCUGCUCCUGAAACCUGAUUCCUGGUGAAACAUGCACCCCACACUCUGGAUCACACCUUAAGAUCAGAGGAGGAAAACAUCAAAACCCAAGUCAGACCUCUGCAGCUAAUGGUUCACAACUUGGGGCUCCUGGUGGCAGGAGGCUGCUCAGGAAGUUCUGACACCCCAGGAAAUUCAAGCUGCCAGGAUGGCUUGAGAGACAGAGCCCUUCUGCUUUGUACUGGUAACACAGAGCAGGCUAAGCAGAGAACCCCAGAGCCCACAUCUCAGGAACAAAAGCAGAAAGUUACCCCUAACCCAUCUGCCUCUCCUCAAGCACAUCACCACAUCAGACAAAGAGCACAUUUGCACACACAUUUCAUCAGUGCUUUGCAAAUUCUGGGUCCAGCUCCACCAUCUGUCCACAUCUUCUUGUUCAUGCUUGAACUAGCAGACUGACUGCUCAACACAUCUCUCAGCAGCCCACUGAGAUAACUGUUACCACUGUUAUUUCAGUAGCCAUACACAUAAAACACCAUUUCCCUCUUAAUGCCUAGGAAAUAAGAACACCACUACACAGAAGGAAAAAAAAAAAGCACCAAAAAAAACCAAAUUAAAAAACUCCAAAUCAGAGUCAGGCAGGCUUUCUUUCUCUUUCUCUCUGGUGAAUCAUAAGAAACCUGAAUCACCAAGACAAACAAUAUAUUCCUCUCUCAAACUAGAAGCUUUUGAAGUCUUUGAGGCUGGGCCAUGCAGCCUUUUGAGUCAAUUCAUGUCAGCUGUGCCCAUCCACACCCCCCAGGAGGGCAGCUGCCCUUUGGAGGUCUCAAAGAGCCUCCCCAGUCUGUGAUGCAUCCCCAGCAUAUAACGCUCUCCAACACUUGGUAGCCAUUUGUUGGCUUGCUGAUGCUAAUGCUCUGUGAACUCUUAUCAGAUGUAUUUAUUACCACAGUUGUUAAUGUUUUGAGAAGGCACUGACUGGCUUGAGUUCAAAGAAGAACCACAAGAACAGAAAAUAAGCCCUGAAGGUGCUUCUUUCAGGAGUCUGACUAAUGCACCUUACUAAAGAGAAGGUUGAAAAUGCAAUGUGAUGCUUUGUUCAGUGCUUGUUAGCACAAAACUCACUGUGAAGGAAAACAAAAUGAAAUCACUUGUUGCUCUUCUGGAAUCCCAAAUAACUCUCUUCCCAAGGAAGGGCAUAGUGAGGACAGCAUGGGUCUGGUACUCUGGAGGACAUGAAGCCACAGAGAAUACAAGCUUGAUUUUUCUAGAAGAUGUGUUGCUUCAUAGAAGAUUAAUGUAGGUCAGGAUGAAAAUUACAGUUUAGGUGCUCUCCUAGUUCCUUUCUGUGGCUCUUUUUUCCCCUGAGCUCUUGGGUGCUUAUUUGUAGGUGCUUGUCAGAAAUUCAGUGAUCAAGGGAAAGAAGAAUUUUUCCAUCAUGUUCUAUGUUUCUUUUUAAAUCAACGUGUUUAAUUAACAAUAUUCAUGCUACAAGCUUCUUAAAUAUUUUGUGGAGUUUGGUAGUUUUUGACACUCCUUAUCACAUUCAUAAGUAUAGAACACAUACAUGCAGUUGCUUACUUCAGGCUAUCCAGGCCAUUCCUUUAAUGUUUCUUUUAGAGAAGAAUGAAGACAGGAUUUUCUUGCCAUCCAGGGCCAGUGUGUUUCAUACACUCAAAAGGGUUUACCACAGCUAAAAAUAAUAUUACUUAAAACCAGUGAGAAGGAGAGAAAAUGUGCACAGGGCUUCAGGUGUUCUUGCCUGGUGUCAGCCCUGCUAGGGAGAGGCUGCUCUGGGGUGUGGGAGCUGCCCUACCCCUGCAGAGGGAUGGGGCCAGCCCGGGCUGGGCAGCUCUGCUUUGUCUCCUGCUUCCCACCAGAGAAGGCAGCCCCAGCUUGUCCUUGGGAGAAGGAGCAUCUUCCCUAUGGACUCUCCAGCUGACUCUGCUCUAUUCUGACAUUUCCACCUAUUCUGCUCAACUAUUCAGCUCAGGGAAUGCUUUAGCCCUGCCACCAAGUCUGUUCUGCAGGGACAGGGAAAGCAGGGGUCCCAGGAGAGGAUGGUAGAAGGGAGGCAAGGGGAUGAACAGAAAAAAGAGGUGGGCUUUUUUCAGAAGUUGAAAAAAGAGAAAGAAUCAAGGGGCUGCCAGUCACAGGUUUGUUUCUUUAUUUUUUCUGCUUAGCCUUGCAAUGAAGAGCAUACUUAAGCUUUCUUCUCUGUAGAUUGAGUUCUUUUAUUGUAUAAAAUUGUAACUGCAACUUAUGCAAAAAUAAAAUGAAGACAUUAGAAGGACCUUUCCAUUUGCUACAUUUUUACUGGGAGUCAUGCCUUAAGUUUUAGCUUUCAUGUUUUUCAGAUCCUGUACUGCAUUAGUAUGUAACGCUAAACUUCAUAGAAAGUGUUGGCAAGUUCUCUUCACAGUUUAGUGAGACAAAGCAAUCCUUUUCCAGCCUGAGAACCAAGGACACCGUUGCAGCUUCAGGCCCAAGGAGAAUUGUCAAGAGCAAUCUAGGAAGAUAGGACUUCAUAACUGAAGCUGAAAUUAGACAAUUAACCCCAAUAUAUAAAUGGACCAAAACUUAUAAAAGUGUGAAAACUCACAUCUCAAGUCCAUCUUGGGUGGAGCCAUGGCCAGGCUCUUGUAUUGUCCAAGGUCCUCUGUUCUAGGCAGCCUCUUUAGGCAUCAGGAGCUGAAUCAAGCCUAACUGAGUUUCAUAGGUCAAGAGGUCUGUGACCAGAAGGAAGGAACCAGCCUUUUCUAAGAGGAUGUCAUUUAAGUCUCCAAACAGAAAUCUCUGCCCUGCAGCACUGUAGAAAUCCUGGUCAGCCCUGGCUGAAAACUCAGGCUAAACUUGGUUCCUGAGUCACCACUUCACUGACUUCAUACCACAGGCACGACGGGAAGCAGCGGCGGUGAUGCUGAUAGACACCAGAGCUUAGAAGAGGGACAAAUAAUGAGAAGCAAAAAUAAUGUGCCAGUUUCUCCUCUGCGAUGGCUAGAAGAGGGUGCCCUGGGAAGGCCUGCUUUGUACACGGUGCUGCUUCUGCCAGUGACAAAAGAGCGAGGCUGCAGGAAUAAAUUUGUUCCCUCUUCUGAGGAAUCAGCCAUAGGAUUUCCCAUUCUGCUGGUCCAAGUCAGACAGCUCAAGAGUCCCUGCGGCUGUUCCAGCAGCAGCUCCACGGAGCAGUGCCGGAUCUGCUGCUCGGUGCUGGGACACGCCCGGCUGCCGGGACCGGGACAGGGACCGGGACCUCUUGUUGGGCAGCAGGGUGGGGUCUUUGGGCCAGAGCCGCUCCUGGCUCAGAGAACAGGCUUGUUCACGGAUUUCCUUUGCUGGAGAGGUGACCGAGUGCGCACGUCUGUGGUGGGGAGGUGCUGCUUGAAGGGAGGAAAAUGCGAGCACGAGAAGGGUGAUUAAACCACUCAUUAAGUUUAAUAGCCUUGCUAUUUAUAUUGGACUUGGCAUUGCAGCAGUAGGCAGGAACACAUUAGCCAAAGGAAAAUCUAAAUAUGACCUAACACAGCUGGAAGGGGAGUCAAGAAUUUGGACAGAAAUGGUAUUAGUUUAUACUUUUUUUUUCCCCCCAAGAAACUACUCCUUUUUUCAGGGAUGCCUCUCCAGCUUGCAAGCUUCAAGCAGUAGCUUCAUCAGCUUUACCAGGGCAGAGGCAUAUCCUGGCCAAACGAUCCUUUGCUAUAGGAUUGCUCCUUGCUGUGCACAGGGAGGCUGCAGGCAGGAGCAGGACAGGGGAAGGCUUGCUUGCAGAAUGCAUCAGGAGGAGCAGCAUGAGCCUGGAAGUGGGAAACCACAGUCACCAGCUAAAGGCUGAAAUUCAAAUUGACAGGGGCAAAACUUAGAAUUCAACAUCCUGUGUCUUAGCUCACAGUGUGUAAACAUCAGCCCUCUGAUGAAAGGCAAGGGAAUCAGCCCUGUUGUUCAUAACAAAGUCGAUGCAAAGGUUAUCACUGACUGACUCCAGCUGGUCCUUGGGUGAGGCACAGGCAUUCAAGGCUGUGAAAGAAUUGAGGUUCACAUAAACAACUAACAAAAGUUAUACACAAGGGAUUUAUUAUAUGAAUAAUUUGACAUACUCCAUGGUAGUCAGAUACAAGUGCAUUUAAUUAAUGUUUUGUGGACAUCAUAACAGUCGGAAUAUUUCAGCUGAACAGUCAGUAUUUGGCUGAAUUCAAGCCAGUGCAAUUCAUGACAUAACCAGAAACAGGGAGUUACAGGUCUACAAUGAGGUUAGACUAGAUAGCAACAGCAUAUUUAUUGUCACAUCAAAGCAUUACAAAGUAUGAAAGCCCAAUAUUUCAACUAUCUCUAAAAUGGUAUUUGUACAAAGCUGUUGUAGAUACUUAAAUGUAAGGAUUUGUCACAUCAGUAAUGGACCAUGACUUUAUUUUUGGAAGUUAUUUGAAUAUUCAAAACUAUUUGGGGCAACAAGAAGAAAUGUAAACAUCUGACAGUCCUUUGAAGGUCCCUUCUGAGAAAAUACAUUGUGUGCCUCAGGAAAAGUGCAUUCUAACUGGUGUAUCUGCUAUGGCCAGUUUGACUCACAUUCACUUAGCACCAGGUAUUUAUCCAUUUCUGCAGUAAAAAGUUAGAAAAUCUUUGUAUUAACUCAGAAAAGAGAAAACAAAGUCAAAAGUUUUUUUUUCUUCUUCUUUUUUAGAGGAACAACAGGUAAAUUAAAAAAACCCCACCCAACAUUUAAACAGUUACCUCUUAUGUACAAAGGAAGCAGGAGCUAGCAAAGCGCAUAGCCCCUGAACAGUCUUUAUUAUUUUUUUCUUCAGGUUCAUGUACCUGAAUAUAUGAGUCUAUUUACAGGUGGACAGGUAUCCACAGAAGUAAUAAUCGGAAUUUUUCUAUUUGGCUAAAAGUUGUAUAAAAAAAGACAAAACACUGUUCAAAUACUUUCCAAAUAUAUAUAUAUAUAUAUUAAAAGUAUUCAGUAUUUCCAUCAGUGCCAGAGUUGGAAGCUCUUCCUCGUUGUAAAAAGUUAACUUUGUGAUAGUAAGUGACAGCAAAGGACUGACAGGGUCAGUCAGAGCUUUGAUUUGAGGGACUGCAGCUGGAGCUACCCCAGGCCCACAUGCAGUUGCAGAUUGCAGGGAAAUGGAUCCACGUGUGUCUGUUGCAGUGACAGGCCACGUCCUGGCAAGGGUGACCUGCUGCUCCAGAGAGCCUCCCAUUCGUGCUGGACAAUCCUGUGGAACUCUCUGGGGCAGGUUCCCUUCGAAAACAUCCACCCAAAAACCUUUGAAGUAAUGGAAAUAUUCUUUAUGCAAAUGAGCAACUAGCAUGGGUGGGCAGGUAGCUCAAUAAAUGGAAAAAUGUAAUUGCCACACUAACUCUUGUAAAGAAUAUAAAAUUAAAGACUUGGCCCCUCAAAUACAAAUACAGACCGCAAAAAUAUUUUUAAUUAACAUAACCUAGAUGAGUGCAAAUCUCUGGAUACAUAAGAAUAUGACUGCCUUCAUACUGGUAUCAAAUAUUUAAACAGUUUGCAUAUAAACAAAAUCUUUCUUUGUUGUUGAGUCCAUGCUUGCUUUAGUCUAAAGCAAGGAUAUUAUUACUUCUACUUUUUUGGUCUUUCUUCCUGUAGGAUAAAGCAUAAGAAACACACUUCAUUGAGCAGACUGGGCUGAUGUAUAUUACAGAGACAACCCAACAUUUAAGUAAGAAAUGUUGCAUGCAGUAUCUUUUUCUCAUAUUUAAUUACACCAGCUACAAGAACAUGACAUCCAUUUUCCGUCUUUCCUGCUCCCUUCCAACAGAAGGUGCACUAAAGCCAGGCUCUGAUCCUUUGUCCCUUGCACACCCCAGCCCUGAAUUCCCCCAGUGAUUAGGAUGAAGGGCUGAGCUCUUUGGGCUCUGCACCACCUGGGGCAGGUCUCAGCAGUGAGACCAAACCCCUGAGGAGCCAUCCCUGCCUCCCACGUGCUGCAGGGCCCUGGGGAAGGGAUGCUCAGAAGGAACCCGGGCUGCUGGGAUGGCUGGAAAGGCUGUCCCAAGGAGGAGGAUGGCAUCUGCAAGCCCUGGGGCAGUGGCCUCCCUCUCCUUGGCACAGCUGGGCCCAGUGUGGCUUUAAACUCCUCCUGAGCCCGGGUGAGAGCAGCUGCUGGCCCCUCUCAGCCACCCCAGCGCCCAGGGGGCUGAGCAGAGUGCAAGAGGUGCUGGGCAGGAGAGCACUGGCAGAGGGAGCACAGACACCACCCCUCUGGCCAUGCCAGGUCCUCGACUUGGCCCCAGGCCCCCAGCCCCUCUGCUCCUUGUGCUGUGCAGCUCAGUAUUGCUCUGUCUGCAUCUAAGGGGUUUGGAGAGCAGAAACAAGUCAGGAGACAAAUAUCUGCCAAAGGAGGUGGGAAUCCCUUCUGCUCCUGAAGUUCAGGGGUUUCUAAGCUAGGGGAAAGGUUGAAGUGAUUCAAGAUACGGUAUGCAGCUGUGUGAAAAUGCAUAGUUUGUAUGUAUACAUUCAUUUACAAAGACCAAAGGAAGGUCCUUUGCUAUGUAGAUUAAUCACCAUCUGCUUUUAACAAAAAUGUGAGCUGACAAAGCUACAGGAUGUCAGUUAAACACACAACCUGGGAGUUAAUGGUAGCUGAAUGGCAUUUCCCAAAUAGAGAACUAACUUUUCUUUUUGAUUUUUUGAGAUAAUUUUUAAGUAGUUUUUCAUUUGAAGUCUGUUGUUUCUCUAAUCAUGUGUUUUAGGAUUUCAAGAGAUUCCUAUUCAGCUGUGGUCAUCUCAGCAAUGACAGACCCUGCUUUGAAGGCUGUUAAGAAGUAAAAAUCCCAAAAGACAAACAAGCAAACCAACAGAACCUGGGUUUAGCUAUGGUGUGUGAACUAGAUCAAAACAUGGUCCUUUUAAACUGCUGAAAUUCUAGUUCAGUAGUAAGUAGUGCUUUUUUGCUGUUUUGGUUUUGGUCCUUUUUUUGCAAUAGCUGAGCUAGUAGUAAGAAAAUUCUAUGAGUUUGCUCACUUUCUUUUUAUUUAGUUGACACUUUGGAACUUAGCUGCUUCCUGUGAGGAAUGUCUGUUGUCCUGAGCAUUCCUGAACAUACAACAGUAAUGUAACAGGCAGGAUGGGCUUAAAUUGAGAAAAUCUUGGUCCAAAGGAUCUAUUUUAAUGUUUUGACUUUUUCUGAAGAAAAAUUCCUUUGUCACUUGUGACACUAAAAUACAGUGGUCUGCCUCUAAAUGUAAUUUUAACAAAGAUCAGUGCUCUCUGCUAAUCAAUGUGUUCUAUAAAUAUUUAAUUCAGCAAUGGAUUGACUUUUCUCAUGAGACUUUAUCUUCAUGUUUGUUUCAUGUACUUGAUUUUUCUUAGCAUUUGGCUUAGAUUCUUCCUUGCAAUUUUUAUUCAACCGUAUCUAUGGAAAUGCAAAAAGCAUUUUUGAAGCUAGAAAAAGGUAAGAAUCUCAUAUAACCAUUCACAUGGAGGAGAGUAAAAUCAUCUAAGCAUAUUUUGCAAUCUAAAGUCAAGAAACAUUGCCUGUUGCGUAGUGAACUGGUCAUUCACUGGGAAAUGGAAAAGUAGAUUUUUUUUUUCCAUACAAACAAUGAAUACUAGAAGUGCAAGAGGAUAAGAUUUGCUCAUUCUAAAAUGCAUUGAUCAGAAACAAAUUAUUCAUUACCUGAACUACUUGAGUAACUUGAGAAAAAAACAAACCUUCUCAAUUUUUAUAAAAUUACUCUGUACAAAGCUGGUUUACUGCGUUGAUGAAACUCAAGAGCGCGUGCUUAGCACAUCACAAAUUCAGUAGUCAUUCUUUUAAAGUUUCAGGUGCAAGCAAAUACUUCUCAGUACCUUAAUUAUUUUUUAUCAACUUUUAGGCAUUAAUAUGCAUAUUGCUAAUUUUGUAAAUGUUUCUAAUUUAAGAAAAACAACUGUAAUGUUUGGGGUGUCCUGACUUGUACUGAGAAUGAUUCCCAAGAUAUCUGUAAUCCAUUGGAAGUGCUCUUGGUUCAGCAGGCAGAAUAGACUCAUAUGCUGACACAAAGAUUUUAACACUUUUUUUCAUAUGAAAUAACAGCAAAAUUCUCAGAGGAAUUUUUCAGGGCCCAAUUCUGGGUGGCUUUGAUCCAGCACUAAAUCAUUUUCAGUGGCAACAGACUGCAGAGGCUUUUUGGUGAGUUAUGGCCAAGGUCCUCUGAAUUCUUGACUUCUCCCAGCUGCUGGUGCUACAGGGGACUGUGAGAAUUUGACAAAGGUCUGUAUAGUGGCAUUUUGUUGUGUGUUUUUAAUGUUGUAAGAAUGAGAGAAGCACCUGCUUCUUACAAGAAAGUUUUCUGCUAUGUCUAAGUCACUGUUAGUGGAAGCCCCUUAUCUAAAUGUGCUGUGCCAGCCCAUAGGCUGCCCCAGAGCACAGAAUCAAAGCAAAUUGUGAAGGAAUAGCAUCUGCAAAUCUUCUUUUCUAAGGCUUCUUUCAAACACACAUGGAAAUACAGCAACCAACUGGGCCACAGAGCUGUUAUUUGUGCUGCCUGACAGAGCACGACCUUGGACGGGCCUGUCACUGCUCUUGCUCCUCAGCCGAGCGCAGGCUGAGUUUCCAGACACCCUAUGCUCACUGUAAAGGUUUUAAGCUUAAUUUGCCCCAUAACUGCAAGAGCUGAGCCAUGCUGUGCAGCCUGGACAGGUGACAUCAGCCCACAUCAGCACAGGUUCCACUGAUAAGCACAAGGCUUGCACACCACUGGCAGGGUGCUUGCCUCGCUCCAGGGACUCCCAGCGGUCCCUGGAAGGACUCAACAGCUGGAUCAGGCCCAUCUUUUGCAGGGAGAACUGCAGCUUGAUUAAAAAUGGCAAAAUGAUACAUUUGCAGUCCAAGGGGAAACUAUACUGAGGCUAUUGGAGCAGCGGGUAGCUUUUACUUUUACCUAUGGAUGCAGAAAUGAGCAGAAUGUUUGGAAGCCUCUGAAAAGGAGCUGGGGUAUCUGGGAGGUGGCCAGCUAAGAGCUUUUGCAAGGAUGGAUUUUACAUGACUCCCAAGCUGUGCAUGGUCUGCGCACACACACACUCAGCCUGGGAGAGGGGAGCCCAGGAAUGAUUCACCCUGGAGAGGAAAUGAGCAUCGCUGUCUCUCCCCUCUUCAUGUGCCUUGUUUUCCCCACUUUUCUUUGUGUGAUUUGGAAUAAAGAAUUUGGACAAAGUAAAAGUCAAAAAGGUCUUUAUUUUUCAGCAUGCUCCAUAAGAUUUAAAAGGAUUCUGUGCUGGGGCAGAGUAGCUUUUCUUUGUUUAAAAUGCUGAAACUGGCAUCUACAAAUUAAGACAAACUAUGUACAAUAGUGUGACUGCUGUAAGCUUAACACCAGAACCAGAGGGAAGAUGAGUUCAUUAAUUCACUUAGGAAUAAAAGGAUUGUCUUUAGGACACUAGUUCCCAAAAUCAGUGGGGAUGAAGCCGGGAAAAACCAAAUGGAAAUACUACUGCCAGCCUGGCAGUGGCCCUGCAAGUUGGGAGAGCAGCUG